UUCACCCUUCUUGGACCAGCUCUUGCUCUCUUGCUACUCUUCUCCCAGAAAUUGAGGUUAUUAAUGGAAACGAACAGGUCCCCAUCCCAUCCCUUGAUUUUAUUGCAGAAAGACCCAAGUGAGUUGUCCAACUUAUUUCUGUCUUCACCACCUUGGGAUUCACUGUAGCCGCUGCUACGGGCUCCACAGGCCUGGGUUAUUCCCUUCAAUUUAAACAGGUCACAGAAGGAUUGAUCUCUGAUGUCCAGCAGCUUGCAUCCACUAUCUCCCUCUCCAGGAUCAGCUAAAUUCCUUCGCAGAGGUGGUUCUAUAAAAUCGCAGGGGUUUGUUUUGGACCUCUUACUUGCAGAGCAGGGAGGUCUUUGUCUUGCUUUGCAGGAACAAUGCUGCUUUUACGCCAAGAAGUCUGGCAUUGUCUGUGAUAAGAUCCAUGACCUCCAAGAAGCCCUAAGAAACCAUAGACAACUGGCUGACAACCCCCUUCUAACUGUCUGGAAUGGACUCUUGUCCUUUUUGCUCCCUAUAAUUGGGCCAAUUCUUGGGCUACUAAUUGUCUGCUCCUUGGAACCGGUCAUUUUCCAAAGACUGAAAACGUUUAUCAGCCAACAAGUUACCUCCCUCCUUUCUCGGCCUAUUCAGGUCCAUUACGCUAGACUGGAAAUGCAUGAUAUCAAUGAACAUCAUAAUCUGACCUGAGGUGCUGAGCUGGUUAGCCAAUGAUGGAGUGGACAAAAUUUGGAUAAUCCUACCUUCUCCUGAAGCACUGGAUGCUGCUCAGAUGUUUGAACCAACUUUUAGAAGGGAUAGAGAGUUUGACUGAGAUGGAUAGGCAAAGCCCUAAUGAUGUUACUGGAGAAAGCUUAGAAUGUGGCCUGGCAUGAAGUUAUAACCUGUCAUCCUGAGAGUGUCUGUCUACAGUGCUCUGUAAAUAGAAUCCAUUCUUUCAA